rfam:Microbacterium testaceum StLB037 DNA, complete genome.
GGGGCCUUAGCUCAGUUGGUAGAGCGCCUGCUUUGCAAGCAGGAUGUCGGGAGUUCGAAUCUCCCAGGCUCCA